rnacentral:rRNA from 1 species
GACGAACGCUGGCGGCGUGCCUAAUACAUGCAAGUAGAACGCACAGUUUAUACCGUAGCUUGCUACACCAUAGACUGUGAGUUGCGAACGGGUGAGUAACGCGUAGGUAACCUGCCUGGUAGCGGGGGAUAACUAUUGGAAACGAUAGCUAAUACCGCAUAAUAUUGAUUAUUGCAUGAUAAUUGAUUGAAAGAUGCUAUUGCAUCACUACCAGAUGGACCUGCGUUGUAUUAGCUAGUAGGUGAGGUAACGGCUCACCUAGGCGACGAUACAUAGCCGACCUGAGAGGGUGAUCGGCCACACUGGGACUGAGACACGGCCCAGACUCCUACGGGAGGCAGCAGUAGGGAAUCUUCGGCAAUGGACGAAAGUCUGACCGAGCAACGACGCGUGAGUGAAGAAGGUUUUCGGAUCGUAAAGCUCUGUUGUAAGAGAAGAACGGGUGUGAGAGUGGAAAGUUCACACUGUGACGGUAUCUUACCAGAAAGGGACGGCUAACUACGUG